UACGAGGGGGGCGAGCGUUGUUCGGAAUUAUUGGGCGUAAAGGGUGCGUAGGCGGUUCCGCAAGUCCUGUGUGAAAUCUUCGGGCUCAACUCGAAGUCUGCACGGGAAACUGCGGGGCUUGAGUGUGGGAGAGGUGAGUGGAAUUCCUGGUGUAGCGGUGGAAUGCGCAGAUAUCAGGAGGAACACCGGUGGCGAAGGCGGGUCUCUGGGCCGUUACUGACGCUGAGGAGCGAAAGCGUGGGGAGCGAACAGG
rnacentral:rRNA from 1 species